UACGUAGGGUGCAAGCGUUGUCCGGAAUUAUUGGGCGUAAAGAGCUCGUAGGUGGCCUGUCGCGUCGGCUGUGAAAACUCGGGGCUCAACUCCGAGCUUGCAGUCGAUACGGGCAGGCUAGAGUUCGGCAGGGGAGACUGGAAUUCCUGGUGUAGCGGUGAAAUGCGCAGAUAUCAGGAGGAACACCAGUGGCGAAGGCGGGUCUCUGGGCCGUAACUGACGCUGAGGAGCGAAAGCGUGGGGAGCGAACAGG
rnacentral:rRNA from 1 species